CGGCCGCCAGCCAAGCCGCCGGAGGACGAGCCGGACGCCGACGGCUACGAGUCGGACGACUGCACUGCCCUGGGCACGCUGGACUUCAGCCUGCUGUAUGACCAGGAGAACAACGCCCUCCACUGCACCAUCACCAAGGCCAAGGGCCUGAAGCCAAUGGACCACAAUGGGCUGGCAGACCCCUACGUCAAGCUGCACCUGCUGCCAGGAGCCAGUAAGGACUUCUCAGAGCAUCUAACGUGUUGAUGGGCUGUUCCCUGACUCUCCGCAAGGGGGAUGAAGUGGGCAGAAUCUGCCCCUCAUUCCUACGCCGGAUGACCCAAGCGUCCGACCACACAUGUGCUCAGGGCACCAGCACAACAGGUGCAUCUCGGACAGGAGAGAGAAAAAUUGCUGUUAAAUAAAAGCAUCAAGGUGA
rnacentral:lncRNA from 10 species